UUCCGUGCAUAAGAAGCCGAAUGAGGAAGACACUUAAAGAUGAAGUGCUUAAUUCAAGGUCACAGAAUGUCGGGGAUGGACCUCCAGAUUUCCUUACUGGUGAGACGUGGUCUUGUAACACAGUGGUUAAGAAUGUGACUUUGGAGCCAGCCUGCUAGGGGCUGAAUUCUGACUCAGCCAUUUAUUAACUGUGUGACCUUAGGUCAUAGAAUUUUCCACACUCCUUGACGGAGGUUCUUAACCCUUAUCCAUCAGCAUUCUCAGACAGCACCUCCGGUUAGGGACAGUAUCUGACCGUCCGACAUCCCUGCAGCCCCCAUGCUGUCACACAGACUCAGCCUCAGGUAGAUGGUUUCCGUAGAUGGUGGCUUUCUUUGGACCCUUGAUAUCAACCAGUUACUAUUUGACUCUUCUGCAGAACCCCAUGUUGACCCCUGCUUUGAGGUGGCAGCGUUAACACUACUCUUUGUUAUAAGCUCUCGUCUGGGGCAACUCAGGAGAACGGGACCAGAUGUGCAGAGGUAAUGAAUACCAGGGAAUCAGGAAACCACUGGAUCAGUUCUUUGAGCCAUAGAACAACACUCAUCCCAGCAGCUGGGAAGCUAUCUGCAAAAGUCCAUCUGCAGAAAGGGCUUCCUGGUCUUGCGUGUGGCUGGGCCAUUUCUCUGGAUGCAGGUUUUUCAUUAUACAGUCUUCUCAAAGGACCACCUGCUCUCAACACC
rnacentral:antisense_RNA from 1 species